GAUUAUUAUUUAGGAAACCUUUCUUUCUUCUUGCCCAUAAUGAUUUCUUCUUAAUUCUGUCUUGGUUUGGGGGGAGUGCGUGCAAUUGGCAAACUCUCACUCCUUUAAGGUGUUCACAUUAGUUAUACUUAGUAAGAGGAAUCAUUUAUAUUCAGUGAAAUUCAACUGCUCCUGCUUACAUUUAAAAUAAAUAAUGAAAACAUUACAAUAAUGGGUAGUAAUUAAUAUGAAGGAAAAGUGUAUCUAAUUUGUAUGGGAGAUGUGCUUAUUUAUUUAUCAGUAGUUAUAUUUUAAACUCUGCAGGGUUACAACUGACUGUCCAUAAAGCAGAGAAGAAGACAAGCUAUGUUCCUGCAGUUCUUAAAGUUUUGGGUAGGUGGGUAAAAUCUGUGGUUGAGUGAGCCAGUUUGAUAAUAAAUGCCUCAGCACUUCAAUAUUUUUCCUGUGUUCUCAGGAAAGUAAGAACUGAAUGCACUAAAGAACAAAUUCUCUUGUCCGUGUGAGAGAUAGAAUGCCUCUUAGUAAUGGAAAGGAAGAUCUUCUGUAUCUCAAUUCCAUUAAAAGAAUUAAGAAGGCAGAAAAUGGCAGUUUCCCUAUACAAUUAGCGGAAAAAUUUGGCAUGACUACUAAUGUAGGAAACCGGUGGAACUAGCAGUUCAGAAUUUUAAAAAUGAGGAGGAAUGCAUAGGAGACUAAUGAGGAGUGAGUUCAGCACAGACUUGGUACUUGAAGCAAAUGAUUGGACACUCCUUAUGAAAAGAGGUAAUCCAACAAUGCUGGUGUGACAGGUAACAUGGAAGCAGAUUCUCCACAUCUCUCUCUUGGGGGUGUCUCAAACUAUCUGCAAAACUUGCUAUUUUGAAAUGAGUUUUGCUUGGUUUGUCAUGCCAGCACCAGAUACAGAAGAAUGCUGCCCUAGGCCCUGCCUCUGCUCUGAUUCUGUGUUGGUGGAAUGCGCUGUGCUGUAGAAGGUGGCUGUAAUUUAUGAAGUGGUGUAAUCUC
rnacentral:lncRNA from 1 species